UCUCUCAUCUCCCGAGUCCUCGACCUAGGUUUCGAUGAGCCGCCGCCACCGCCACCGCCAUCACCGACACCGUCGUAGACCGCAUCCUGGUCUAGCUUCUUAGCCCUUGUUCGCCGCACGACCCGGCAGCGCGUCCUCGCUUCUCCCUCCUCUGGUCCUCCUUCCUCGACAUCCAGCGGCGCCUCCUCCCUAUUUGCCCACCGCCUCCUGUACCUCGUGGCCGUCCGCCGGCUGCUCGCCCACCGCAUCCUCGCCCAGCACCUCGUGUAGCCAUAUCCCAGAGCUCGAAGACGCCACCCGGUGCCGGCGCACUUAUAGCAGCCACGGCGGCUGGCCAUGAGGAGGAGGAGGAAACCCUCCGCCACAGAUUCGAGCGCUUCGAUGCUGCCAUAGCCGUGGCCUCCGAGCCGAGCUCCUCAUGUGGGACUGCGCUCAGAUGGACCUUGCUGCCACCGUCUCUUUAGGGGAACAGGUCUGUGAAGGAAAGGAAAAUAAAAGGAAUAAGCUGCAGUAAAAUUUUGUCAAAUCACCACUUAGAGAAGAAGAGGCCGGUGCACGCGCUCAUGGACCAGCUCGGCCUGCAGGACCCAGCCAAUACCAUGUCAAGUGUUGGUGCGUGGUCGCAUGGACACCAUCGACACACAUAGGAACGGUUCGGUUCAGCACCUGCAAGCACAUCUAGCAGGUGCGACCUCCAUGCUCGGGUAACAACAACGACCAGCAUGGUACAACGACAAUCCGCUUCUACUCACCUUGCCUCUGCCCCCUUGCUACAGUUCCAUGCUUUGAUAAUGCAUUAAUAUAGCCAUGCAGGUAAAACAAAUAGGAAAAUUGAUGUUGCUCUCCACACGGAAGCCUACAAUCAUGAACUUCUCCAGUUUUGCAUAGUUUGGAGAUAAUUGAAAUCUGCAUGCAUAGAAGCAUUUGAAGUAAAUCAGGUUUGAAUGGUAGGUACAAUAUGGCAGGAAAUAUGUUAGGUAUGGUGGUCUUCGUGAGAUGCAUAUUUCAUCAUAAGCUGCCCUGAAAGAAGUAAUAUGUAGUCUCAAGUAAGAGCUUACUCUUAUGCAAGUAAAAGCUGGUCACAACAUUCUAAUUUGUGAUGACCUGCAACAAUAUUCAAGAAAGAGAGAAUCCACUCGAGUAUUAACUGCACUGCUGCCUAUUCAAUCAAACCAAUCAUUGUUACCUCUAAAUGUUUACAUUAUAUGACAUUUUGUGUCUACACUGCAAAUAAGGAAGAGUUCAGCAUGAUUGAGCAUUUGAGCAUAUUAAAGAAGUCCAACUGAGGUGCUUAUUUCGUUCUAUAUUUUUUUGGGUAAUCAUGAAUUUCAUCUUAUGAUCUGCACUAAUAACAAAUGCACCAGCUCAGAUUUUAUCCAUCUACAGAACUAAUAAAGUAAAGAUAGCCUAUUGUUGGGCAGAAAUGUGAACAUAUUGGAUUCUUAUAGCAUCAUAGACGGUAGGUGGGGCUCCCCAAGCCAUGAUAGCAUGCAGCGUCAAGGGCCUACAAUUUUUUCCUUCAGUUCUUGCAACAGCAAGGUCACUGUCUAAAACUAUCUUUAAUUUGUACAUCUAUUGGAAGAAAAGUCUGAACUUACAUCCCCUGCUAAGCCUCAUAUGGUUCCUGCACAGUUUGUAGAUCUUGGUCAGUUUCUGCAUGUUUUGUUGAUUUUUUCUUCAACAUUAUACAAUGCCCACAUGCAGAAUAUAGAUACAAGGUAAUUUCUCUUUGUUAUGUAUUGCAAAUUAUUUUGUGUGAUAAAGUAAUCAUUUGGAAAAAUCAGAAGUGUACACGCUUGUCAUAAAAACAUAACUACGAACCUUACAUCAUAUGUUAUCGGCAAUGAAAGCAGUGGCUGAAGCUCAUCUAGAACUGUGAAAUUUAUCCUUGAGAAAAACUUGUGUCAUCUGCCCAGCUGUUGUGGCGCUACUCAUCCUUGUUUAGUUAGGCAACUAACCAAUAAUGUGUUGCUACUUGCUAUGCACAAGAUAUAUCCACUUUUGAAAAAUGUGAUGUUGCAUUCUUGUAAUCUGGCGUCUUCCUUUGGACUUGCAUGAUGUUGUAGUACCCUUAAUUCUCUUAUCUGUAAUGUAGACCGUUGCGAAAUAUAUUAUUCAUGUUGCACUAUUGCUCAUGUGUUUAGAGUUUAGACAAAACAUAUGUGAACAUGUUUAGUUGAUGUGCUAAAAAUGUUUGUGUUGAUAAUAACUGCUUAUUCAUCAUAUAGAAUAAACACCAUAUGCCACUUAAAUCCUAGCAGGGGAAGCUAUACUCAGAUGGAAACAAUUCAUGUGCCUCUUUACAUAGAUAGCCAUUUCUAUUAAUUAUAUCAAAUUGAGUGGUUUUAGUGGACAGUAUUAGAACCAGAUUAGCGGCAUAGAUCUAUACAAUUAUUUACACAUAUCUCUUAGAGGUUAAGAUUUUUUUAAUCGAAGUUACUUGUGUGAGUUAUUUGUUGUUAAAAGACUAAUGUGAUGAUACACUUGUAUGUGUAGGGAUGUAUUUCUCUUUUUGCGGGAAAUAUGUGUACUGAUGUAAACUUGCACCUAACCCAUGUAAUACAGAUAUAUGUAUACAUGUACACUAUACUAAAUAUCAUACGGCCUUGUGUCUCCUAAGAGAAGCAUUGCUAUUUGUUAAGUAUGGUGCGGAAAUUCAUGUUUAUUUUCUUUUUAUUAUUCAGUUGUUCAGUUUCGUAACAAAUCUACAUCAAAGCUUGAUAUCUAACCUAAGUUGAGUUUG